ensembl:snRNA LOC120095507 U6 spliceosomal RNA
GCGCUCGCUUGGCGGCGCAUGUACUAAAACUGGAACGAUACAGAGAAGACUAGCAUGGCCUCUGUGCAAGGCUGACACGCAAAUUAGUGAAGCGUUCCUUAUUUUU